UCGUGGUGUAACGGUAGCACACUCGACGCGUAUUCGAGAAGUUCGGGUUCGAGUCCCGGCGA
rnacentral:tRNA from 1 species